GUCGUAACAAGGUUUCCGUAGGUGAACCUGCGGAAGGAUCAUUACCACACCGAUCCAACGAUCAACACCCCUGUGAAGUUGUGUGUCGUUUUCUCUUUCCUCUUCAACGGAAGCCCUUCUUUCUGCUGUGAUGCUUUGUCGUCGUCUCGGAGGGAGGGGCUUUUUUGAAGAACACAAAACACAAACCACUUUUUUGAACCAUGAUAAUCUGAAACCGAAAGUUUGUACUGCGUGUUUUGCACACCAUACAAAUGUAUCAAUGUAAAAACAUGAAACAACUUUCAGCGAUGGAUAUCUUGGCUCUC
rnacentral:misc_RNA from 1 species